CACGUAUUUUUUUCAUUCGGAAUUACUUGUCGCCGAAAUGGAUGUAUCUAGACGUAUUUUAGCUUUAGAUAUAUCCAUUUUUCAGACAAGUAAUUCCGAACGGAGGGAGUAUUAA
rnacentral:pre_miRNA from 1 species